AUUGAACGCUGGCGGCAUGCCUUACACAUGCAAGUCGAACGGCAGCGGGGGAGAAGCUUGCUUUUCCUGCCGGCGAGUGGCGAACGGGUGAGUAAUGCAUCGGAACGUGCCCUGUAGUGGGGGAUAACUAGUCGAAAGAUUAGCUAAUACCGCAUACGACCUGAGGGUGAAAGUGGGGGACCGCAAGGCCUCAUGCUAUAGGAGCGGCCGAUGUCUGAUUAGCUAGUUGGUGGGGUAAAGGCCUACCAAGGCGACGAUCAGUAGCUGGUCUGAGAGGACGAUCAGCCACACUGGGACUGAGACACGGCCCAGACUCCGACGGGAGGCAGCAGUGGGGAAUUUUGGACAAUGGGCGAAAGCCUGAUCCAGCAAUGCCGCGUGUGUGAAGAAGGCCUUCGGGUUGUAAAGCAGUUUUGUCCGGAAAGAAAUGGCUCUGGUUAAUACCUGGGGUCGAUGACGGUACCGGAAGAAUAAGGACCAGCUAACUACGUGCCAGCAGCCGCCGUAA
rnacentral:rRNA from 1 species